rnacentral:rRNA from 1 species
UCAAGCUACUAAGGGCAUACGGCGGAUGCCUAGGCGCCAUCAGCCGAUGAAGGACGCGGUAAGCUGCGAAAAGCUACGGGGAACUGCAAGCAAGUAUUGAUCCGUAGAUGUCCGAAUGGGGAAACCCACCUGCCGUCAUGGGCAGGUAUCCGAAAGGAAGGGAACCCGGGGAACUGAAACAUCUAAGUACCCGGAGGAAGAGAAAUCAAACGAGAUGCCCACAGUAGCGGCGAGCGAAGAGGGCAGAGGGCAAACCGGGGAGCUACGGCUCUCCGGGGUUGAGGACUGCAUUUAGUCUUAAUGGUCUAUCCGAACUACCUGGAAAGGUAGGCAACACAGUGUAAAAGCCACGUAGGUUAAAGACCAGAGAGAUGAGCAGUAUCCAGAGUACCACGAGGCACGAGGAAUCUUGUGGGAAGCCGGGGGGACCACCCUCCAACCCUAAACACUGAAUGGCGACCGAUAGCGCAUAGUACCGUGAGGGAAAGGUGAAAAGAACCCCGGGAGGGGAGUGAAAGAGAACCUGAAACCGUAUGUCUACAAGCAGUCGGAGCGAAAGCGACGGCGUGCCUAUUGAAGAAUGAACCAACGAGUUACGUGCACUAGCGAGGUUAAGUGGAAGACACGGAGCCGAAGCGAAAGCGAGUCUUAAGAGGGCGGAUAGUUAGUGUACGUAGACCCGAAACCGCAGUGAUCUACCCAUGUCCAGGUUGAAGCGCAGGUAAAAUUGCGUGGAGGACCGAACCUGUGAGCGUUGAAAAGCUUUAGGAUGAGAUGUGGGUAGAGGUGAAAUUCCAAUCGAACGCGGAGAUAGCUGGUUCUCCCCGAAAUAGCUUUAGGGCUAGCCUCAAGUAGUAAGUAUAGGCGGUAGAGCACUGAUCGGGCUAGGGGCCAUAAAGGUUACCGAACCCUGUCAAACUCCGAAUGGUUAUACUGUAGAGCUUGGGAGUCAGACUACGAGUGAUAAGAUCCGUGGUCAAAAGGGAAACAGCCCAGACCACCAGCUAAGGUCCCCAAUGUCGUACUAAGUGGAAAAGGAUGUGGGGUCUCUAAAACAACCAGGAUGUUGGCUUAGAAGCAGCCACCAUUUAAAGAGUGCGUAAUAGCUCACUGGUCGAGAGACCCUGCGCCGAAGAUUACCGGGGCUAAAGUACGAAACCGAAGCUGUGGCUACGACGUAAGUCGUGGGGUAGGGGAGCGUUCUGUGAGGGCUGAAGUCGUUCUGUAAGGAACGGUGGACUUCACAGAAGUGAGAAUGUUGGUAUGAGUAGCGAAAAGAAUGGUGAGAAUCCAUUCCACCGAAAGCAUAAGGAUUCCUGGGCAACGAUCGUCGUCCCAGGGUAAGUCGGGACCUAAUCCGAGGCAUGGAGCGUAGGAGAUGGACAACUGGCAGAUAUUCCAGUACCGGUAAUGAUUGUUUGAGCGAUGGAGUGACACAGGAGGGCAGGCAGGCAGGAGAUUGGUUGUUCCUGUACAAGCGUGUAGGAUGGGUUGCAGGCAAAUCCGCAACCUGUGAGUCUGAGGCGUGAUGUGGAGGUUCCGGAAACGGAACUGAAGCUGCUGACCCCACACUGUCGAGAAAAGCUUCUAGUUAGAGAAUUACCGCCCGUACCGUAAACCGACACAGGUAUGCGGGGAGAGAAUCCUAAGGUGCGCGGGAGAACCCUCGUUAAGGAACUCGGCAAAAUGUACCCGUAACUUCGGGAUAAGGGUAGCCGCUGUUGUGAAGUCUGUACGGAUGGAGCAUGAGGCGGUCGCAGAGAAGAGGCCCAAGCGACUGUUUACCACAAACACAGGUGCCUGCUAAAGAGAAAUCUGACGUAUAGGUGCUGACACCUGCCCAGUGCCGGAAGGUUAAGGAAGGAUGUCCGGAGCAAUCCAAAGCAUUCGACCGAAGCCCCGGUGAACGGCGGCCGUAACUAUAACGGUCCUAAGGUAGCGAAAUUCCUUGUCGGGUAAG